GCCCCUAUAGCUCAGUGGUAGAGCGCAGCACUCGUAUCACGUGUUUCAUCCCAAAAAAUGCGAACAUGCGACAUGCUGAGGUCCAUCGUUCAAUCCGGUGUGGGGGCA